AAACUGUUUUUCUUGAGUAGUGCAGAGGUAGGCGGAAUUCCCGGUGUAGCGGUGGAAUGCGUAGAUAUCGGGAGGAACACCAGUGACGAAGGCGGCCUACUGGGCACCAACUGACGCUGAGGCUCGAAAGUGUGGGUAGCAAACAGGAUUAGAUACCCUGGUAGUCCACACCGUAAACGAUGAUUACUAGGUGUUGGAGGAUUGACCCCUUCAGUGCCGCAGUUAACACAAUAAGUAAUCCACCUGGGGAGUACGACCGCAAGGUUGAAACUCAAAGGAAAUUGACGGGGGCCCGCACAAGCAGUGGAGUAUGUGGUUUAAUUCGACGCAAUGCGAAGAACCUUACCAAGUCUUGACAUCCCUUGACGGACAUAGAAAUAUGUUUUCUCUUCGGAGCAAGGAGACAGGUGGUGCAUGGUUGUCGUCAGCUCGUGUCGUGAGAUGUUGGGUUAAGUCCCGCAACGAGCGCAACCCUUAUGGUCAGUUACUACGCAAGAGGACUCUGGCCAGACUGCCGUUGACAAAACGGAGGAAGGUGGGGAUGACGUCAAAUCAUCAUGCCCUUUAUGACUUGGGCUACGCACGUACUACAAUGGCGUUAAACAAAGAGAAGCAAGACCGCGAGGUGGAGCAAAACUCAGAAACAACGUCCCAGUUCGGACUGCAGGCUGCAACUCGCCUGCACGAAGUCGGAAUUGCUAGUAAUCGUGGAUCAGCAUGCCACGGUGAAUACGUUCCCGGGCCUUGUACACACCGCCCGUCACACCAUGAGAGCCGGGGGGACCCGAAGUCGGUAGUCUAACCGUAAGGAGGACGCCGCCGAAGGUAAAACUGGUGAUUGGGGUGAAGUCGUAACAAGGUA
rnacentral:rRNA from 1 species